CUGGAUGACAUUUUUCCACUUUUUGCAGAAGCAGCGGGGCUUUCAUCACCUAUUGAGUAUCCUGUUGUUGGACUUCUUUCUCAGCCUUGUUCAAGGGGAACUAGGGGCUUACGUUUUUGGAACAAAAGGAUGAGUUGAGUUCAAUGAGCUGAAGCACAAGACAACAGACACUAUUGAUUCCUUGUGUACUAUUUUUUUUUUUUGAUCAAACCAAAGUUGCAUUUAUCUUAAAAGAGUUUAAAUUCCA